CGCCCGCUGAGUGUCCCAUCUCCGCCGCCCGCUGCCGCCCCUCCCCUCGACUUGCCUCCGCCGGUGAGGCCUAACCAAACCUCGGGGUUCUCCUCCGCUGUUGUCAUGAGUGGUCAAGGUCGACAAGGAGGUGAUGAAUCUGCACGCCGGCCUUCUUCCACUCCCAUCCCCAUCUUCCUCGGUACUCGAUUUGGAACGACACCUGUGGAGUCCGAACGUGGCGAAGGGGACCUAGCGAGGUGUGCGUGUAAGAAGACCUGGUGUCCCCGGCUUCCGAGGCGACGCAGUCCAUGAUAGGGCAAGACCUGGCGGUGGCCUUCUUCAGCGACUUCUUGGGCUCCGUUGGCCCUGACCCCCGCUUCGUCAUCGACGACAGGUAAAGCAGCUCUGCGGAAGCCGCCGGCCACCAGGAUCAGAUUCUGUAGUGCAGCCUCAUGUGUGAAGCAAGAAAAUUAUGAUCUGGUGACAGAAGUCCUUCGAACGUGGACAAAUCAGUACCAAAAUUGAUUUGGUUCUUCCAAUCUGUGUGUGCAAUGUUUUUUCUGAGGAGCAAGUAGGUGGAGCACAUGAGUGACGAUGAUACCCCAAACUCUCACUAACUCUUAGCAUCUCAUAAUGUGAUGUCUAUAGGAGAUGGAGCAGCGCCUUGUUGAUGCAUGAGCCGAUGCGGUCUGAAUCAAGCCUGUGCGCAUCUUGGUGAGAAUCAUUGGUCUGGUUUGACCAUAUUUUUUGGACUGCAUUUUGUGGUUGUGUGUGAAAUUGUGUGCGGUGUAGGAUCUGCACUGUACGUGGAUUGCAAUUGUAGGACUGAUGGUAAGGCUUGAUCAAUGAACAUCGACAUAAUUUACAAUUUGAUCUUGAUUAAGCACGUGCGAUGGCGUAGUCUCUCUCUGUGUCGCUGAAAGGCACUUGGUGGCGAGGGCGCACGCGGAGAUGCGUUUAGUAGGGGCCCGACGAGUGGGUAAGGGCGGGCGUGGAGAUCACUAUUCCUGUGUCAGCGAACAUAAUACAAGCAUGUGUGACGAGGACGAACUUGGCACAUGCAAUGGUGGGGAGUGGCGACGAUGGUCAGGUGGAGGAGAACACGAGAAACGAAGCCAUGCGGCUGCAUCAGGCAUGUAUAGCUGAUCAAUGACUAUACAUAUUUUUGCCCGAAUGGUUUAGAUGGUCUUAACUGGAGGCUGCAUGGUGUAUCAGAUUUGGGUCGGAUCAGAGGAAAUCUACGGGAGAUUUGCAUGAGAUAGCAAUAGUGUGGCCCAUGAAACAGCAAAAAAUCAUCAACGUGGUGUAUCAGAUGUACAUUGACUUUCAGAGCACCAUCAACUAGCUUGAUCUGGUGUCCACUCGAAUAGAAAAGAAGAUGAAGUGCGUGACCAUUGUAGCUACUGUUUAAUUCAGAAGGACUGAGGGUGAGAAGAACAGUUUGUGUGGCUUGGAGUGGGUGAGAAUUUUCUAGCCGGUAAUUAGGGAUUUCCAGCAAACGCCGCAGAGCAAAAUCCAUGUGAUCAAGAAAGAUUCAAGACGGAUGGGUCGGCUCUGUAUCAAUAGUGUGUGCACGUUUACACCAAGUGUGGCAUUAUGAUUUUCUUAGUGGACCAACUGCGGCAAGAUCGAUCUGCCCAACAAGUCUGUUGAUCUUUCCACGUUUCGAACGUGUGCCGGAGUCAAUAGGUUUAAUAUUACGAUGGUAAUUCUCCUCGUCAUGUGUUUUUUUAUUUCAUGGAGUGAUGAUAAAGGAGUUUCUUUUGUCUACGGCUUGUUUCCAGUAUAUAAAAUGUGUACCCCAACAAUAUGUGGUAACAUAUGCGCCAUAGAUUUGAUGUGGGAACUGUCUUUGCGCAAUAUAACAUCUUUCUUAACACCACGGACUUUUGGAUAAAUAAUCCAUAUAUAUUUAUGGUCACAAGCUUGUGAGCAUAGCUAGCUGUUUAUUGUAGUAUUUGGUUCUGUGUAUAUGUUUCGUUUGCCAUACAAAUAAAUGAACGUUAGUUUUAAUUAAGAUAACAUCUCAAUUUGGUUUGUACAUCGCGAAGCAAGUCGGAAAAUAUCUACUAGGGGGAAUGUUUUUGGGGAGGAUUCUUGUGGUUUCGAAUGAGGAGGUAGCACCCUGUUUUGUAAUGCUCAAAUAUAUUCUACUUAACCACCUAGAUUCCCAUUUGUAGAAAUUUUACUUCCAUGUGUACAAGGUUACUUUGGUUGUUGUUCAGGUCCAGGCUGUUUAUCAUGCCAUAAGAAGAGAUGUGAGGAUGAAAUAGAUCUUAUGAAUUACGAUUACUUAUUCCUAUAUAGUUCCUUCCAUUUUGUAGCACCGACUUCCUAUUGUACAUCACAUUGAUAUGCUUACAAUUUGCUAAAAUUGUAUGCUUUAAAUGAACAUUAUUGCUUUACAUCAUUGC